rnacentral:rRNA from 1 species
GGAAGUAAAAGUCGUAACAAGGUUUCCGUAGGUGAACCUGCGGAAGGAUCAUUACUGAUUUAGCGAACCGAGCGUUAGCGAGGUUUUGCGAUCACUUGUAUUUAAAACCCACUCUUUGAACGUAUAAAAUUUUAUGUAUUAAUGAUAAAAAUAAAAGAUCACUUUCAACAACGGAUCUCUUGGCUCUCGCAUCGAUGAAGGACGUAGCGAAGUGCGAUAAGUAAUGUGAAUUGCAGUAUUCCGUGAAUCAUCGAAUCUUUGAACGCAUAUUGCACUUUCUGGUAUUCCGGAAAGUAUGCCUGUUUGAGGGUCAGUUAAAUAAAAAUCGGUGUUGUUGCUGCCUUUCGUGGUGACGCGUCGGAAUUGAGUUGUCUUACUUUCGGUUAAGUGACUUAAAAUUUUGUAUGAUUUUCGAACGUAUUUAAAUUUAUUUGUACGUUUGAGAUAUCGAACGUUAUUAGGUUCGGUCAUUCUAAUGACUCGCGCCUAUAGUUUUUCAUUAAAUGACCUCAAAUCAGGUAAGCAUACCCGCUGAACUUAAGCAUAUCAAUAAGCGGAGGA